GCAGACCCCCUUAGUUGUAAAGGGACAGGAAUUGUUCACUCGGGGAGCUCGGUUUUGUAAGUCUGCCGAUGCUCCUGGCAGAAUAAAGCCCUUUCCUUCCUCAACUCGGUGUCUGAGGGGUUUUGUCUGCAGCUAGUCCUGCUACAUUUCUUGGUUCCCUGACCUGGAAGCGAGGUGAUUACCGGGCGGUGGAGGCAACUGCUUAGGAGGCUUAGGCCUGCCUUGUGGAACAUCCCUGCGGGGGACUCCUGCCGGCUUUAGUGAAUCCUGAGAGUGCUUUCAGCUGGGUAAUUGCCCUGGUGGAACGCCUCGCCAGAGCAGCGCACGGUAGGCCCCCGCGGAGGAUUAACGCAGCGGCUGAACAGCGGGAAGGAAUCGGCGCUUGGAGUCCAGACAUCUGGAACACGCUCUUGAACAUCAGAUUCCAGGUUCUGCAGCCUUUGGACUCUUGGACUUAGACCAGUGGUUUGCCGGGGGAUCUCAGAUCUUCAGCCACAUACUGAAGUCUGCACUGUUGGCUUCCCUACUUUUGAGGCUUUGGAACUCUGACUGAGCAACUACUGGCUUCGUUGCUCCUCAGCUUGCAGGUGGCCUAUCGUGGGACUUCACCUUGUGAUCACUUAUUUUAGGAAAGAGUCAUAGCCUCGUAUGUUAAGGCUGUUGCAUCAGGCUGUCUCAUCGGCUGCUGGAAGUUGGCUGCACUUGGGUCAUGGGAUGAGCUCCAGUCCACUCAGCUGAGGCUUAGGUGGAGGUCACAUGGGACCAGCAUGACAAUUAUCCAGGAAGACCACUUAGGAGGGAGUUGUGGGGUAUGGCAGGUGUUUGAGGUUUAUCUGUUCAGUACUAUGGCAGCUUGCAAGAUGCCCUCCAAAUUUAUUUUCUCCUUAAUCCAAACCAACAGAGAAGCUUUGACUGGGUGCAUGGUUAUCCAGCUAAUGACAGCAUUUCCCAGAUUCCUGCUAGGAGUGGCCACGUAACUGGAUUCUGACUAGAAAGUCAUGAGCCACAGUGGUACGUGCAGCUUCUGUGUUGGCCCUUUAAAAUGAAAGAGGCCACCCCUCCGUGCUUGCCCCCCUUUCCUGCUGGCUGCCCAUGGGCAUAAGGAUGGAAGCUGGAGCAGCUGUCUCAUGCCCCAAGAUGGAACCUGCAUGUCGGCCAGCCAACAAGGUCGAUGGGCCCUGGAACCCAACACCUGGGGCAACCAAUUUGUCCCGGACUUUCCCAAUUCUAGUAUUGGGAAGUCCUGUGAACCAGGGACCUCCUCAGCCUUGGACAAACUGGGACAAGGGUGCAACAAAACAAAAUAAAAAGUCUUCCAUUUGUG
rnacentral:lncRNA from 1 species